ACGUAGGGGGCAAGCGUUGUCCGGAUUUAUUGGGCGUAAAGAGCUCGUAGGCGGCUUGGUAAGUCGGGUGUGAAACCUCCAGGCUCAACUUGGAGACGCCACUCGAUACUGCUAUGGCUAGAGUCCGGUAGGGGAGUGUGGAAUUCCUGGUGUAGCGGUGAAAUGCGCAGAUAUCAGGAGGAACACCAGCGGCGAAGGCGGCACUCUGGGCCGGUACUGACGCUGAGGAGCGAAAGCAUGGGGAGCGAACAGG
rnacentral:rRNA from 1 species